UACGAAGGGGGCUAGCGUUGUUCGGAAUUACUGGGCGUAAAGCGCACGUAGGCGGAUCGAUCAGUCAGGGGUGAAAUCCCAGGGCUCAACCCUGGAACUGCCUUUGAUACUGACGAUCUGGAGAUCGGGAGAGGUUGGUGGAAUUCCGAGUGUAGAGGUGAAAUUCGUAGAUAUUCGGAGGAACACCAGAAGCGAAGGCGGCCAACUGGCCCGAUACUGACGCUGAGGCGCGAAAGCGUGGGGAGCAAACAGG
rnacentral:rRNA from 1 species